rnacentral:piRNA from 1 species
GUAAAUAUCACCCUUGACAAUAUUUGUUUA